ACUCAGAGCUUUCUAGAUGUAGAGGCUGUGAAUAGCUGUUUUAUUGCUCUGUGUUGUUGUUGUGUAACGAGGGAGAGAUGGCCCCACCCCCGUGAGCUGACAGGAAGGAAGGCCUGCAGAGGAAGUGCUGGGAGAGAAGUACACAAGUAGCACAAUGAGAGAAAUGUGCUGCAAGAGCCCAGAUAUUACUGUGUGUAAAAUGUCAGUAGGGAAACCCAGUGGUAGAAAAGUGCACUCUGUUUAGGGUGUGGAAGGACUGAAGAAACUGCCACAUAAUUGGGGAUUCCCCAGCAGGUCAGAGAUCAGACAAUCUGCUUUAUUAAGUGAAGUUGCUCCUGGCUGGCACACUGUAUAUAUGCAAGAUAUUUAAAGAGCAUCAUGUGACCCAGUGUCUCUGGACUAAAAGAUUCAAAGUAACAAGAAUGAGGCUGCAGCUGCCAGAAAGACCUGCAGUGUUAUCAGGCAUGAGGCAGAAAAGAAGAAAAGCAGCCCAGUGGAACUUGUGGGGAGAGAACACCCAAAGAAAAUUCAGGCAGACACUGGGGGGACAUAGAGACUCCAGUCCAUUCCUAAUGUUAUCCGUAGGGGAUCAUUAGCUCUCCCUGAAAAUGACAUUGUUGUUUUUUUCCUGAAGAAACAUUGAGAUAAGUGGAAUAGAAGUGCUGACAUCCUUAACAGCAAAUGCUGGUAGAAAGUAUGUGGCAUCCAACACAUUUCUUCUUAUCGGCACCUCUGAAGAACCCAGUGUUCUCUUCUCCUUGUGUCUCCAGUGCAGGCUCAAAGGAAGUGUAUCAUGCCUGACACGUUUCACCUUAUUGAUGUUUCAGACUACCCCUGAAUUUUCCGCUAUCUCUCAGGAGCAGCUGCAGCCUGUUGAAAACACUAACCUCUAAGGUGAAGAUUUGUCCAGAAAACAUGGCGAUUGCAACUUUGCACACUGCACUUGCGGUAAGUAAAUGACCCCUAUAAUUAAGAUUAGAGGCAGUACUCCACAAGUUUACAAGCAGAAUACUAUUGCUAUUUAAAGAUUGAGAUUGUUUCAUGAUAAAGACAUCUGGCAUGCUAAUAUGUAUUUUGACAAUCAGAACUGACAUUUCAUUAUCAAAAUGACAGCUUCCAAGUUCACAGUGGGUUCUAGUUAACCUUCUGGUAUAUGGCUUAUUAAAAAAUGAUUUGGUUUUAAUUUGCGACAAGGAUUCAUUUUCAAUAGAGAAUGUGGUAAUGUAGUAAUUCUAAUAAAAUGAAAAUGUAAUGUCUGUUUCCAGUUGAUCCUUGUAUGAUCCUGUCUUGACCUCAAGGUCUAAGGCAACUUCAUGAAGUGUUAGCAAACUUUAUCCUGUGUAUUUGGUUUGUCAGUGGUUUUAUUCAACUUCACAUAAAUGUUUUGGUUUCUUGCUGAUUUCCACAUAAAGCAUACAGUACUGUUUAUUAUAUAAAGAUAGAACGAAUUAAAAUAUGGGUAAUUAUUACAAAGUGCUAUAUAAGAAGGUUUUUCUUGAAAUCGUGUAUUCUGAAGAAAUAAACAUGAUGAUUACGCAGGUGACUUAUGGGAAAUAACGCAUGAAAUAGAGAGAUGGUUGUGAUGAAACAACAAUCAAUUUUUUAAAUAAACAUGUAUCAUACUGGAGCAAUCAUGCAAUAAUCCCAAAAAGAAUCUUAAGAAGAAAUAAAAACUGUUUAGGUAACUUGAACAAGAUUCCAAAUUCUCUAGAAGAUUAUUCUUGUCCUUAAAUAAGUGUUGUUGGGGGGUCAUUAGCUGAUUUUCAAUCUCUAGCUAACAUGAAACACUUACAAUGAUGAUUACAUUUGUGCGAUUCACACAGUUCCACAUUGAGAGUUUCAGAACAUAAGAGUACUUUUUUUGAAUUGCAAUUUAGAUGGUAGAACUGAUUUUUUGUUGAUAUGUCUGGAGUUUUGCAGGCUAUAAACUUGAAGUCUGGAAUAGUAAAACUGGAUCAUUAGUUAGUCAAUGGUUGACGUUCCAAAUGCUGGGUCCUGAUGUAGAGUCCUGCAGUGGAUCGGGUACCCGCAGGUUACCCGCAAAAACCUGCAGUACCCUGCGGGUUGCAGGUUGAAGUUUCGGGAGUGGGUAUAUACGCGGGUCGUGGUUCUCCGGGUUUGUGGGUCAGGUCGCAGUCUUCUCAAUAGCGAGCUUUACUCUUUUUCUGAUAACACCUACUUCUAAUGAUGUCACUUCCGGUUUACAAUGACAGCACUUCCUGUUUUACUCCUUUUUUUUCUGAUCACACCUUCUAAUGAUGCCACUUCCAGUUUACAUUGACAGCACUUCCUGUUUCUUGAUCGUCGGGAUCGGGUUGCGGAUAAGGUACUUGUGGGCAUGUAUGCAGGUAAGUAUGCGGUUCAGGUUCAACAAAUCGGUUCCUCGCAGGACUCUAUCCUGGUGCAUAGAUUAGGGGUAAAUCUAAACAGCAUUCUUCAGGCCAUGGUACCACGGGUUCUUCAUAAGGCAGAAUUUAUGGUAAAGAUUUAGCUUAUAGUGGAGUAGAGUUUGAACAGAGCUGCACACAAGCUAUUAGAUGCAGUUGGGGAGCUUACCCCAUUUAUUUAACACACCAAACCAGGGGGGAUACACCCUCCCUUCGUCAUUCUGACAGGGUACUAAGCUGAGCAAAGCAUAUGAACGGUAAAAGCAGAGCCAUUAAGGCUAAUGGCACAUAUAGUGUAUUCUCCAUGGCUAAAAAACAUUGGUGAAGUUAACACCACCAAUAAAUUGAAUCAAAGAUUUGUGUUAUCAAACCGAGAUAAGCCAGUUCACAUCAAUGAUAUUCAUUUUGAGUCAGUACCACAUAAGUCAUAUUUAGACAAAGCCCCACCUUUACAUUUCUUUGGGGAGAUAGAAUGACUUAGUACUGGAAUAGGUUCCAUAUUCCAAUAUAUUCACACAAGUUUUACUUAAACCAUUAAUGUAGUAACUAAUAAAGGCAACUCCGUGCCAAUGGGCAUUUAGCUGCUAUCCAUUAUAAGCAUAUAUGUAUAUAUGGCAGGAGGAAUGAUUAGUGGGAGAGGGGGGGGGGGUUGUUCUGAUUGAGACCCCUAAUCAAUUUGAGGACUGUAAUUUAGAGUUUCGGAUAUAUCUAAGUUUUGAGCUUUUUAACAUAUGACUUAUACUGUAUAUAAGGUGGGCAACGCAUGCUUUUCUGUAGUGAGUGGCUCCUAAAAUCAUGUUCAUUAAAGAUUCUUGUGCUAAAAUGUGCUUAUCUCACUUCCAUAUAGAUUGCUCGGCGCCGCUCUGUCCUACCUGCCGUCCCUUCCGAAUUGGGCACCACUGCACCUAUUGAUGUGAGUGCACUGACAGAGAUCAGCGGCAUCUGGACAAUCAUGAAAUUUGACAGUGGAUACAGACUGCAAACAGAAAAAAAGAGAGAGGGAGUAUAUUUGGAAAAUAGCACUGCUUAAGAAGCACUUAUUGUUAUAACCUUUUCAAAUAUAUAAGCAGCUAACUAAAUGGUUAAACUGAGGGGAAAAGAUAUAUAUCUAUACAGGUACGGGGCCUAUUACACAGAAAGCUCGGGACCUGGGGUUCUGGGAUCUUUCUGUAAUUUGGAUCUUCAUACCAUAAGUUACUAGAAAAUCAUGUAAACAUUAAAGGGGUUGUUCAACACAUUGACAAAUAUAACCGCUCACAUUAAUAGAACAAACGUUGCCAUAUAAAUAGUUAACAGGAAAGUACAGUUGAAGAGAUAUUAUUAACCUCAGAAGUUUCCCUGUACUAAUCAUUCAGUUCUAUGUGGAGCCUGUGGUGGGAGGGAGUCACUGACCCCCAAAAACUACAGUGUUCACUUCCACUUCCUUAUAUGACAUCACACAUUGUACUGGCAGCUAACUUAACUCCUAUUGGCUUUGUCUUCUAUCAAUCUUC